UCUUUCUAGGUGUCUCUUGAUUAAGUGGGAAAAUAUGUUCAUACUAAGUAAAGGAAAGCUGAUUAAAAAAAAAUAAUAAUAAAAUAACAUGGUGAUACUCAGAUUAUAAAGAACUCUCAUUAUAGUUGAUGGCUGCUCCUUCAUAUGUUGCUGGUAUUUUUCAAGAUCUUGUUACUGGUAAUGCACAUUGUGCCCUAGCAGGGUAUUGAUCAAAAAAGCUGGGGAAAUGUGAUUUUGUUGCAUAUCAGGAAAUGCAAUCUUUAUUUGUUAUUGUUUCACGGUACUGUACUGGGAUCUAUAGCAACAAUGGCAGCACCAGCAGUCUCUGGCAAGCUAAAGUUUUGGCCCAAUGGGAGAUUGUGAAUAAAUGGAUGUCCAAUAAAAGGCAAGGCAGUGCAUCUUGGCAUGAUACAUGCUGCUCAACUGAAUUGAACUCCCUUGUGUGCCUAGAGCAAGAAAGCCACUAUACAUUAACGGAGUGUACUCAAUUAAGAUAGAUGCAGAACAAGGGAAGGUAACCAUAUCUGGCACUGUGGAUCCACACACGAUCAUAACGAUGCUGGGGAAAGCUGGAAAGAAAGCAGAGCUGUUGUCGGAAAUGAACAACCACAACCAAACUAUGCAAGCUGCUCAACCCACGUGAGUUCAAGGCAUUGAUCAGCAUAAGGAUGCCAAACGGCUUCUUCAAUUGUCACAAAUUAAUCGCCUGAAACAAGUGGAGCUAACCCAUUCCAAGAACAUGAAGAUGACCUUCGAUAACCACAACUGCAAUUUGGGUCGUAAAACUGACACCACCAAGAGUAAAAAGAUAGUUGGAUCCGCUGCCACUGCAGCUCCUGCAUGUUGUGGUGGUUGUUAUGAUCAUGUGAACAACAUUCCAGAUUGCUUUGCUACCAUGGAAUUGAUAUAGCUUGUCGGGGUGGGCCCUCAAAGGGGUAGUGGUCAUGUGGGCCACCGGUAGUGGCUUACCCAUAUCCUAGUUUAUUUGGGGAUGAAUAUCUUGUGAGUUUCAUCUUUCUGUCUUCGGUUCUUGGACUUUGAUCUUCUUUUCUUUAUUUGUUUUGACCUAUUUUAAAGUCAUUGUUAUGAAGUUAUUAUUGUAGAAGCGGAGUUAAUUUUAUUCAAAUCACGAAUUUAACUAAUA